UGGGGAAUCUUGGACAAUGGGGGCAACCCUGAUCCAGCCAUGCCGCGUGAGUGAUGAAGGCCUUAGGGUCGUAAAGCUCUUUCGCCUGUGAAGAUAAUGACGGUAGCCGGAGAAGAAGCCCCGGCUAACUCCGUGCCAGCAGCCGCGGUAAUACGGAGGGGGCUAGCGUUGUUCGGAAUUACUGGGCGUAAAGCGCGCGUAGGCGGGCUGUUAAGUCGGGGGUGAAAUCCCGGGGCUCAACCCCGGAACUGCCCUCGAUACUGGCAGCCUAGAGGUCGAGAGAGGUGAGUGGAAUUCCGAGUGUAGAGGUGAAAUUCGUAGAUAUUCGGAGGAACACCAGUGGCGAAGGCGGCUCACUGGCUCGAUACUGACGCUGAGGUGCGAAAGUGUGGGGAGCAAACAGGAUUAGAUACCCUGGUAGUCCACACCGUAAACGAUGAAUGCCAGUCGUCGGGUAGCAUGCUAUUCGGUGACACACCUAACGGAUUAAGCAUUCCGCCUGGGGAGUACGGUCGCAGAUU
rnacentral:rRNA from 1 species